rnacentral:other from 7 species
CGGGAACUGCCCGGUGCGAGCCUUAGCAAUUAUCCCUGAGGCUAUAAUCUUCAUCCAUGGGAGCUGUCCCUGUGCAGAUCCUGGUCUGCAACACAUGGUUCCCACCUGACGUUCUGUGCGUCGGUGGAUAUUCAGGCCAACGGCCCAUGGUGGUUCCCGU